ACCUGGCUGGCUCAGUCGGUAGAGCAUGCGACUCUUGAUCUCAGGGUUGUGAGUUCGAGCCCCACAUGAGGUA
rnacentral:tRNA from 1 species